rnacentral:lncRNA from 1 species
CUCUCCCUAAAGGCCAUUACAACUUUUACCAAAAAAAAAACUAGGAACGAUGAAGCCCUGGAUAAAUCAGAGCUUGAGAAUUAGGCCUAUGGGACAAUGAUCACUCCCAUUAAUAUCAGGGAGGAUGUACGAAUCAUGGACCUUUGCUGCGAUCGAUUCGGACACCAAGAAGUAGUCCAGUCUCCAUCCUGAUUUCACACCAUUUCACCACUUUAACAACCACAAAUAUGAAUCUGAAUAUCUAUCAAACCAAAACUUAAUUACCUUUGUUUGUUUUACGGCCACCAUGGCGAUAACCCCAAUAGGUGUAACCGAUGACACCAGGAUGUUGCUUUCUAAAGGUAUCUACCAAGCCCUUGUCUAAGAAGUUUGCACCAAAGGAUUGCCUUUCUUCUAUUGUAAAACCAGCACUUCUUUUGUUCCCCUUAAAAGAUUUGAUGGAAACGCAUGAAAACCGAGAGAAAUUAGCUUUCUGUGAAAAAAAAGAGAGCAAAGAAGAAUUCAAGUUAGUUACCG